rnacentral:rRNA from 2 species
CUCUUUCUCGAUUCAGUGGAUGGUGGUGCAUGGCCGUUCUUAGUUGGUGGAGUGAUCUGUCUGGUUAAUUCCGAUAACGAACGAGACUCUCCCCUGCUAACUAGUCGGUUGGAUCUUGAUCAGUGGGUUGAGUGCCGAGUAACUCUCGCUGUGCGUGCUGUGCGUCUCGUUCCUCACGGUUCGUUGCGUGCUCAUGUGUGGCGUUGGAUGCCUUGGAUCACACUGCACCCCAAGUCCGCCGCUUUGCUAUAACUCUUCUUAGAGGGAUUCACGGCACUGAAGCCGUAAGAGACUGAGAGCAAUAACAGGUCUGUGAUGCCCUUAGAUGCUCUGGGCCGCACGCGCGCUACAAUGCCGGGCACAGCAGGUGUUUCUCCUGCUCCGACAGGAGCGGGUAACCCUCUGAAAGCCAGUGUUCUUGCAAGUGCUUCCUCCCUCGUGGAGUUGCACAGAGGCGUGCUUGGGCCUGGGACUUGCAAUUCUUUCCCACCAACGAGGAAUGCCUAGUAGCGGCGGGUCACUGAGCCCGCUGUGACUCAGUCCCUGCCCUUUGUACACACCGCCCGUCGCUACUACCGAUUGGGUGUACCAGUGAGAGCCUUGGACUGGCGUCCGUUGUUGCUCGCAAGAGUGACAAGCGGGUCCGACGGAAAGAGGUCCGAA